rnacentral:rRNA from 1 species
CUCCUACGGGAGGCAGCAGUGGGGAAUAUUGGGCAAUGGGCGCAAGCCUGACCCAGCUAUGCCGCGUGAGUGAUGAAGGCCUUCGGGUCGUAAAGCUCUGUGGAGGGGGAAGAACACGCAUGUGGCUAAUAUCCACGUGCCCUGACGGUACCCCUUUAGCAAGCACCGGCUAACUCCGUGCCAGCAGCCGCGGUAA